rnacentral:rRNA from 1 species
AGCGAACGCUGGCGGCAGGCCUAACACAUGCAAGUCGAACGAAGUCUUCAGACUUAGUGGCGGACGGGUGAGUAACACGUGGGAACGUGCCUUUAGGUUCGGAAUAACUCAGGGAAACUUGUGCUAAUACCGAAUGUGCCCUUCGGGGGAAAGAUUUAUCGCCUUUAGAGCGGCCCGCGUCUGAUUAGCUAGUUGGUGAGGUAAAGGCUCACCAAGGCUACGAUCAGUAGCUGGUCUGAGAGGAUGACCAGCCACAUUGGGACUGAGACACGGCCCAAACUCCUACGGGAGGCAGCAGUGGGGAAUCUUGCGCAAUGGGCGAAAGCCUGACGCAGCCAUGCCGCGUGGAUGAUGAAGGUCUUAGGAUUGUAAAAUCCUUUCACCGGUGAAGAUAAUGACUGUAGCCGGAGAAGAAGCCCUGGCUAACUUCGUGCCAGCAGCCGCCGUAAGAC